rnacentral:rRNA from 1 species
UACGAGUGCCCCAAGCGUUAUCCGGAAUUAUUGGGCGUAAAGGGUGUGUAGGCGGUUGUGAGUAGUCUUUCGUUAAAACCCCCGGCCUAACCGGGGAGGUGCGAAAGAAACGGCAUAACUAAGAGAGUGCGAGAGGUCUGUGGAACUCAUGGUGUAGGGGUGAAAUCCGUUGAUAUCAUGGGGAACACCAAAAGCGAAGGCAGCAGACUGGCGCAUAUCUGACGCUGAGACACGAAAGCGUGGGUAGCGA